rnacentral:ncRNA from 1 species
UAAAAUGCGAUGAAAAAGUAGAGUAGUAUUUUGGAAAAUUACAGAAAGAAAAACAUUGAUGAGAGUUUUUUAUUUAGAAGAAAUACGAAGUGCCCUUUGGAGUAGAAGCUUGAAAUAAUAGUAGAGUUAUCCGGUAUCACCCGUUAUAAUGAUUAGGCAUGAUAGUGCUAAAUUUCUUAAGUUGUAGAUAUUUUAUUGUAUCUAAAUUAGAGUGGAACCGCGGGUAAACCUCGUCUCUAUG